UACGGAGGGUUCAAGCGUUAUCCGGAAUCAUUGGGUUUAAAGGGUCCGUAGGCGGUUUGUAAGUCAGUGGUGAAAGCCCAUCGCUCAACGGUGGAACGGCCAUUGAUACUGCCAAGACUUGAAUUAUUAGGGAAGUAACUAGAAUAUGUAGUGUAGCGGUGAAAUGCUUAGAGAUUACAUGGAAUACCAAUUGCGAAGGCAGGUUACUACUAAUGGAUUGACGCUGAUGGACGAAAGCGUGGGUAGCGAACGG
rnacentral:rRNA from 1 species